AAUUAAACGAUAGUACAUUGACUAAAUCUAGAUCGAUAGAGAAAAAACAGCAUGGCCCUUAUACAAGGAUAACACGCAAAUUCGUGAAGCGUUCUAUAUAUUA
rnacentral:snRNA from 1 species